GAACCCGAACAUUGCUUAAGAAGGUUAUUUUCUCAUCGCCGGCCCAGGACAUCUCCCCUUCCUACCCUACAUCGACAUCGACUGCAGCUGGUCUGCGGCAUCCCUGGUGGCUGGAAAGCAGAGCAGAGGGAAGAGUAGCAGAGAGAGCGGGCCUGGGCCAGUAAGAACACAUAAUGAAUUUGGAAGGAACAUUGGAUCUGGAUGAAUUCUCAGAAACACAUAUAUGCAGCAGAGUUAUGAUUGGGCUGAGUGAAAGCUUUAAUCCCACAUGGAGGAGGAGGGCAGGUUUGGAAAUGCAGCCAGCAAAUUGAAGAAGGUAUUCAGAGAGAGCAAAAUGCCAUGGGUAAUGGAUUGAGUCCCUUGACUGAAGCCACAAAAGAAGAUAACCUCCUGGACAUUUUUACUCAUUAAAAACAUAACCUGGUAUUGCUGACAUUCAGUUUAUUUUUUGCAGGUCUCUUAUUGCCCAGUGACUAAAAUGGCCUCAUAUGCUACUUUCAAUAUUCAAGAGCAUUUGCUUCCUCUGGAAUUUAUCAAGUAUUUCAGCAAUAUUGCACCAUUAUUUAGGUCCAUUUCAGUACAAAAUACCAUUUACUGUAAUUCUAAAGUCCUUCAAGUUUUCUUGCAUGCUUUCUAGAGAAUAAUCCAUAAACAAACAUGUAGAGAGGGAAAGCUGCCACUUAAAGGGCAUCUUUGCUGACUCUCACAGACAACACAAAGAUUGUUCUGAAAGCCGAGUUUCACCAGCUAAUGCAUUAUGAUGGUAAAUCUAGCCUUCAUGUGCCUGAUUUUCUCCCAUCCAAGCACUAA